UUUAAUUGUUAUUGUUAUUAGGUUAGUGCUAGGUUAUUAGGGUUAGUAAUAUUUAGAAUUAGGUUAGGGUUAGAAGAAGAAGAAAGAUGAACAAAAAGAAGAAAGUAAGAAUAGGAAAAAGGAAAUAAGAAGAGGAGGAGAAGAAAAGAAGAAGGAGGAGGAGAAUAAGAAGAGGAGGAGAGGAUAAGAAGAGGAGUAGAAGUGGAAGAAGAGGAGGAGGAGAAGAAGAAGCGUAGAAGAAAAGGAAAAGAAGAGUAUGAGAAGAAGAAAAAGUGGAGAAGAAGAAGAAAUAUUUAUCAUUCUGUUUUUUGUCAUUUAAUUGCUAUUCUUAUUAGGUUAGUGCCAGGACAUUAGGGUUUGUAAUAUUUAGAAUUAGGCUAGGGUUAGAAGAAGAAGAAAUAUGAACAAAAAGAAGAAAAUAAGAAUAGGAAAAAGGAAAAUAAGAAGAGGAGGAGAAGAAAAGAAGAAGAACGAGGGGAAUAAGAAGAGGAGGAGAAGUAGAAGAAGAGUCGGAGGAGAAGAAAAGGAAAAGAAGAGGAAGAGAAAAAUAAAAAGAGGAGAAGAUAAAGAAAUAUUUAGAAUUCUAUUUUUUUUACCUUUUGUUAUUUAAUUUAUUAGGUUAGUGUUAGGUUAUUAGGGUUAGUAAUAUUUAGAAUUAGGUUAGGGUUAGAAGAAGAAGAAAGAUGAAUAAAAAGAAGAAAAUAAGAAUAGGAAAAACAAAAAUGAGAAGAGGAUGAGAAGAAAAGAAGAAGAAGAAGAAGAAGAAGAAGAAGAAGAAGAAGAAGAAGGAGGAGGAGGAGGAGGAGGACAAUAAGAAGAGGUGGAGAGGAGAAGAAGAGGAAAAAUAGAAGAAGAUGAGAACUAGAAAAAAGGGAGGAGAAGAAGAAGCGGAGAAAAGAAGAAGAAGAAGAAGAAGAAGAAGA
rnacentral:lncRNA from 1 species